UACGGGGGGGGUAAGCGUUGUUCGGAAUUACUGGGCGUAAAGGGCUCGUAGGCGGCCAACUAAGUCAGACGUGAAAUCCCUCAGCUUAACUGGGGAACUACGUCUGAUACUGGAUGGCUUGGAUUCGGGAGAGGAAUGCGGAAUUCCAGGUGUAGCGGUGAAAUGCGUAGAUAUCAGGAGGAACACCUGUGGCGAAGGCGGCCCUCUGGACGGAUACUGACGCUGAGACGCGAAAGCGUGGGGAGCAAACAGG
rnacentral:rRNA from 1 species